GACGAACGCUGGCGGCGUGCUUAACACAUGCAAGUCGAACGGAAAGGCCCUGCUUUUGUGGGGUGCUCGAGUGGCGAACGGGUGAGUAACACGGGAGUAACCUGCCCUUGACUUUGGGAUAACUUCAGGAAACUGGGGCUAAUACCGGAUAGGAGCUCCUGCUGCAUGGUGGGGGUUGGAAAGUUUCGGCGGUUGGGGAUGGACUCGCGGCUUAUCAGCUUGUUGGUGGGGUAGUGGCUUACCAAGGCGUUGACGGGUAGCCGGCCUGAGAGGGUGACCGGCCACAUUGGGACUGAGAUACGGCCCAGACUCCUACGGGAGGCAGCAGUGUGGAAUAUUGCACAAUGGGCGGAAGCCUGAUGCAGCAACGCCGCGUGCGGGAUGACGGCCUUCGGGUUGUAAACCGCUUUCGCCUGUGACGAAGCGUGAGUGACGGUAAUGGGUAAAGAAGCACCGGCUAACUACGUG
rnacentral:rRNA from 1 species